rnacentral:rRNA from 1 species
AAACCAACAGGGAUUGCCCUAGUAACGGCGAGUGAACAGGCAAGAGCUCAGAUUUGAAAGCCUUUUUGGCAUUGUAUUCUGAAGUCAGUUUCCUGAGUAUCGGUGUUUAAGUCUUCUGGAAAGGAGCGCCAUGGAGGGUGAUAGCCCCGUACGACACCUCACUCAUUGUAGGAUUCUGACGUGGAGUCGAGUUGUUUGGGAAUGCAGCUCAAAAGGGUGGUAUGCUCCAUCUAAAGCUAAAUAUCUGUGAGAGACCGAUAGCGAACAAGUACUGUGAAGGAAAGAUGAAAAGAACUUUGAAAAGAGAGUGAAAAAGUACGUGAAAUUGUUGAAAUGGAAGGAUAUGCCGCUAACAAUGUAGAGCCGUGUUUGGGGGGAAGACAAAAGCUGAAGAAAGUAUCUCUUUUAUGUAUUUAUAACUGCAGUCAAUAUUCCCAUCCGGGCGCGAGGACCUCAGGCUCUACUAAAUGGUGGUCUAUCACCCGUCUUGAAACACGGAC